rnacentral:tRNA from 1 species
ACCUGGGUGGCUUAGUCAGUUAAGCACCUGACUUCGGCUCAGGUCAUGAUCUCACGGUCUGUGGGUUCGAGCCCUGCAUCAGGCU